rnacentral:rRNA from 1 species
GAAGCACCGGCUAACUCCGUGCCAGCAGCCGCGGUAAUACGGAGGGUGCGAGCGUUAAUCGGAAUUACUGGGCGUAAAGCGCAUGCAGGUGGUUUGUUAAGUCAGAUGUGAAAGCCCGGGGCUCAACCUCGGAAUUGCAUUUGAAACUGGCAGACUAGAGUACUGUAGAGGGGGGUAGAAUUUCAGGUGUAGCGGUGAAAUGCGUAGAGAUCUGAAGGAAUACCGGUGGCGAAGGCGGCCCCCUGGACAGAUACUGACACUCAGAUGCGAAAGCGUGGGGAGCAAACAGGAUUAGAUACCCUGGUAGUCCACGCCGUAAACGAUGUCUACUUGGAGGUUGUGGCCUUGAGCCGUGGCUUUCGGAGCUAACGCGUUAAGUAGACCGCCUGGGGAGUACGGUCGCAAGAUUAAAACUCAAAUGAAUUGACGGGGGCCCGCACAAGCGGUGGAGCAUGUGGUUUAAUUCGAUGCAACGCGAAGAACCUUACCUACUCUUGACAUCCAGAGAACUUUCCAGAGAUGGAUUGGUGCCUUCGGGAACUCUGAGACAGGUGCUGCAUGGCUGUCGUCAGCUCGUGUUGUGAAAUGUUGGGUUAAGUCCCGCAACGAGCGCAACCCUUAUCCUUGUUUGCCAGCGAGUAAUGUCGGGAACUCCAGGGAGACUGCCGGUGAUAAACCGGAGGAAGGUGGGGACGACGUCAAGUCAUCAUGGCCCUUACGAGUAGGGCUACACACGUGCUACAAUGGCGCAUACAGAGGGCAGCCAACUUGCGAAAGUGAGCGAAUCCCAAAAAGUGCGUCGUAGUCCGGAUUGGAGUCUGCAACUCGACUCCAUGAAGUCGGAAUCGCUAGUAAUCGUGGAUCAGAAUGCCACGGUGAAUACGUUCCCGGGCCUUGUACACACCGCCCGUCACACCAUGGGAGUGGGCUGCAAAAGAAGUAGGUAGUUUAACCUUCGGGGGGACGCUUACCACUUUGUGGUUCAUGACUGGGGUGAAGUCGUAACAAGGUAGCGCUAGGGGAACCUGGCGCUGGAUCACCUCCUUAAACGAUGAU